rnacentral:rRNA from 1 species
GAUGAACGCUGGCGGCGUGCCUAAUACAUGCAAGUCGAGCGAACGGACGAGAAGCUUGCUUUUCUGAUGUUAGCGGCGGACGGGUGAGUAACACGUGGAUAACCUACCUAUAAGACUGGGAUAACUUCGGGAAACCGGAGCUAAUACCGGAUAAUAUUUUGAACCGCAUGGUUCAAAAGUGAAAGACGAUCUUGCUGUCACUUAUAGAUGGAUCCGCGCUGCAUUAGCUAGUUGGUAAGGUAACGGCUUACCAAGGCAACGAUGCAUAGCCGACCUGAGAGGGUGAUCGGCCACACUGGAACUGAGACACGGUCCAGACUCCUACGGGAGGCAGCAGUAGGGAAUCUUCCGCAAUGGGCGAAAGCCUGACGGAGCAACGCCGCGUGAGUGAUGAAGGUCUUCGGAUCGUAAAACUCUGUUAUUAGGGAAGAACAUAUGUGUAAGUAACUGCGCACAUCUUGACGGUACCUAAUCAGAAAGCCACGGCUAACUACGUG